rnacentral:rRNA from 1 species
AGUGAACGCUGGCGGUAGGCCUAACACAUGCCAGUCGAACGGCAGCACAGUAAGAUCUUGCUCUUACGGGUGGCGAGUGGCGGACGGGUGAGGAAUACAUCGGAAUCUACUUUUUCGUGGGGGAUAACGUAGGGAAACUUACGCUAAUACCGCAUACGACCUACGGGUGAAAGCAGGGGAUCUUCGGACCUUGCGCGAUUGAAUGAGCCGAUGUCGGAUUAGCUAGUUGGCGGGGUAAAGGCCCACCAAGGCGACGAUCCGUAGCUGGUCUGAGAGGAUGAUCAGCCACACUGGAACUGAGACACGGUCCAGACUCCUACGGGAGGCAGCAGUGGGGAAUAUUGGACAAUGGGCGAAAGCCUGAUCCAGCCAUACCGCGUGGGUGAAGAAGGCCUUCGGGUUGUAAAGCCCUUUUGUUGGGAAAGAAAAGCAGCAGGUUAAUACCCCGCUGUUCUGACGGUACCCAAAGAAUAAGCAACGGCUAACUUCGUG